rnacentral:rRNA from 1 species
UACGAACUGUGCGAACGUUAUUCGGAAUCACUGGGCUUACAGGGCGCGUAGGCGGCUUGGUCAGUCCCGUGUGAAAUCCCUCGGCUCAACUGAGGAACUGCACGGGAAACUGCCUGGCUUGAGUUCGGGAGAGGGAAGCGGAAUUCCGGGUGUAGCGGUGAAAUGCGUAGAUAUCCGGAGGAACACCGGUGGCGAAGGCGGCUGCCUGGACCGACACUGACGCUGAGGCGCGAAAGCUAGGGGAGCAAACGGG